rnacentral:ribozyme from 13 species
GAGAACAAAAAGUCAACCAUUCAAUAUAAUUCGAGGGGGCAUUUUCACUCUCUUUUGUUGCUUCUCUUUCCGUCUCUUCUCUUUCCUUCUCUCUUCUCUUCUUCUCUUCUCUUUCUCUCACAAUUUUCGUAUUGGCAGGGGAAGGACAAGAAGAGGAGAUAGAAGAAGAGCAAGAGGAGAGUGAA